rnacentral:rRNA from 1 species
UACGUAGGGUGCGAGCGUUGCCCGGAAUUAUUGGGCGUAAAGAGCUCGUAGGCGGUUUGUCGCGUCGACUGUGAAAACUGGGGGCUUAACUCUCAGCUUGCAGUUGAUACGGGCAGACUUGAGUUCGGUAGGGGAGACUGGAAUUCCUGGUGUAGCGGUGAAAUGCGCAGAUAUCAGGAGGAACACCGGUGGCGAAGGCGGGUCUCUGGGCCGAUACUGACGCUGAGGAGCGAAAGCGUGGGGAGCGAACAGG